GGCCGGAUAGCUUAGUGGUUGACCACUAAGCUUUUCCGAUUAAUGGAAGCGACCCAGGUUCGACUCCUGGUCCAGCCG
rnacentral:tRNA from 2 species